CAGUCGCCACGGUAAUACGUAGGUGGCAAGCGUUGUCCGGAAUUAUUGGGCGUAAAGGGCUCGCAGGCGGUUUCUUAAGUCUGAUGUGAAAGCCCCCGGCUCAACCGGGGAGGGUCAUUGGAAACUGGGAAACUUGAGUGCAGAAGAGGAGAGUGGAAUUCCACGUGUAGCGGUGAAAUGCGUAGAGAUGUGGAGGAACACCAGUGGCGAAGGUGACUCUCUGGUCUGUAACUGACGCUGAGGAGCGAAAGCGUGGGGAGCGAACAGGAUUAGAUACCCGUGUAGUCCCUGUCUCUUAUAC
rnacentral:rRNA from 1 species